rnacentral:rRNA from 1 species
AACGAACGCUGGCGGCAUGCCUAACACAUGCAAGUCGAACGAAGGCUUCGGCCUUAGUGGCGCACGGGUGAGUAACGCGUGGGAAACUGCCUAUUGGUGGGGAAUAACGACGGGAAACUGUCGCUAAUACCGCAUAAGCCCUUCGGGGGAAAGAUUUAUCGCCGAUAGAUGUGCCCGCGUCCGAUUAGCUAGUUGGUGAGGUAAUGGCUCACCAAGGCGACGAUCGGUAGCUGGUCUGAGAGGAUGAUCAACCACACUGGGACUGAGACACGGCCCAGACUCCUACGGGAGGCAGCAGUGGGGAAUAUUGGACAAUGGGCGAAAGCCUGAUCCAACAAUGCCGCGUGAGUGAUGAAGGCCUUAGGGUUGUAAAGCUCUUUCGGGUGGGACGAUGGUGACGGUACCACCAGAAGAAGCCCUGGCUAACUUCGUGCCAGCCGCCGCGGUAA